CUGGUGGGUCUGCUAGUACAUGUGUUUCUUUCACUUUGCUUGAUUUAAAGAGUUUGAGGGUAGUGAUAGUGUGAACUGACCACUCUCUAUGCUUUGUAUUGAAAUCCUCCAACAUGCUAUCUGCAGUACAUCAUCUGUUGCCAAGAUCUACCUCCUCAACAAAUAAACAAACAAACAAACAUAAAAACACAUGACUGCAAUUAUUCAUUGUGGGACUUUGGAGAAGACUUCCAAAGAUCUUGCAUCCAGGCUCUGAAAGCUCUCUCUGGUACAUGUGAAUCCCUGGUUAAAAGAAAACUGGAGCAUGUUGGAAAACCUUCUUGUGUUAAAGUCUUCACAGGUUUCAAGGCAUGAUCUCCGUCUUCGUGCAAGUUCUGAACAUGUUAUCAUUCUGCAGAUAUCCAUCACUGUCCCUCAUGCCCUUGCCUAACCGGGCAGUGAGUGCCAUGGCUUGCUCACCUUGCAGGUACUGAGAGCACCUGGGACUGUCAGUCCCGUUUUCAAGCUGAAAACACACUGCUGCCAGCACUGGAACGGAUAUGACAACAAUGAUAUCUUCUUUUCUUCCCUAGGACUAUGACCUUUGCAACUGUGGUUUUCAGGGCUCUUUUAGUAUGAACUGAAUGUAAAGACAGACUUUUCCAGUGGCCUGAUGGCUCCUACAGGAUCUACGUAUUCUCUGAUGCUAGAACAAAGCUCUUGCUGAGGCUUACUGAACAGCUGGUGACAGCAAAUAUCUACGAAGGAGGAUGGCAGGAGCAUUGGAAAAUGCAGCCCAGAGACACGAAUAAGUGUGCUUGGCAAUAUUCAAGGCACUGCUCUGUACCUCAAGAGAGAAGUCAGACAUUACCAACAGCAAUUCCUUGGGCAUCACCCCGCCAAAUACCCUGGGCCAGGAGAUCCUGGGGACCACCGUGGAGAGGGUUCCUUUCUUCAGCAGCUCCUCCAGGAACCCAUCCCUGCCCAUAGAGCAUGUGGGCUGCAUUGUGGAGAAACGAAGUGGCAGAGGAUGGUGAUCUCAGCCCAGAACCAAAGCAUUCAUCCAGGAACCAGUGUUUAUUUUCUUAGUUUCAUUCUGCUUUACACGGCUGAUCACUCUUCACUAUUUGCACUGGUACAUCUGACCUCGAGCUCUGUUGCCUUCAGUAUCCUGUCCUUUCUCUCUGCUUCAUUGGCCACACAUUCCUGGGAGAAAUAGCACAGUGCCAGUGCCUUUGCGCAGCACCAGAGGCACACGGGGAUGCUGCAUUCCCAGCAUAAGAUAAGCUACUUGUUGAAGGACAUGUGCUUCAAGUCCUUCCAUGGUGCAUACUUUGCACACAUCUGCUUCCUGGCUGGUCCAGCAGUGCUCUGUGCAGGCUAGAGUAAGGCUCUGUGCCUCAGUUUCCUCAACCAGCAAGAGCAUUUCAGCAAGGUUAUUGGUGUGAUUCAUGGGGGCGCACACUCUCUUGGUGGAAGUGGGACCAGAGGUUUGGUGAAGAGUACUCCUGGGCCUAAGCAUUGUUGCUCAGAUAAGAAAUUGAUUUUGUUGUCAGUAAUUCCUCUUCUAUAUUUCUUGCCCAUGAUCUCACAGCUUCCUCGAAUUUCUUAGGGAAAGUAAUAGAAAAAAAAAAAGACACUUUUGGCAGCAAAUGUAAAAAGCUCCCCUUUUACAGACUAUUGGCAAUGGAACUUCGCACCCUUUCACUCAGAAAUGGACCAAGGAUUCCUUGCCUCAUUUUCUACUGUCUCAAAAUCCAGGUUGGUUUGUUGAAAUGAGAAGUAAACAUAAUGACUUUAAUGGGAUGAUCUUGCAGGGCUGUUGGCUGACUGAGGCCACCCAGCUAGAGUUCAGUGUAAGACAGCCUGUACCUUAUAAGGCCAAGAGAUGAAGGCAUUUAAAACAGAAAAAUAAAGGAUCUGAACAUGUUAUUUAAAUCA
ensembl:lncRNA